rnacentral:misc_RNA from 1 species
AACGCAUAUUGCGCCCUUUGGUAUUCCGAAGGGCAUGCCUGUUCGAGCGUCAUUAUCAACGAUCAAGCCUGGCUUAUUGUUGGACUCUGCUGCUGAAACAUGUGGCAGGUCCGAAAAUUAAUGACGGUGUCGUGUUUGACCCUAGAUGCAACGAGCUUUUUAUAGCACGCAUUGAAGUGGUCGACCGGCCUGGUCUUAACCAUCAAAAUUUCUAAGGUUGACCUCGGAUCAGGUAGGAAUACCCGCUGAACUUAA